rnacentral:rRNA from 1 species
GAUGAACGCUGGCGGCGUGCCUAAUACAUGCAAGUCGAGCGAACAGACGAGGAGCUUGCUCCUCUGACGUUAGCGGCGGACGGGUGAGUAACACGUGGAUAACCUACCUAUAAGACUGGGAUAACUUCGGGAAACCGGAGCUAAUACCGGAUAAUAUAUUGAACCGCAUGGUUCAAUAGUGAAAGACGGUUUUGCUGUCACUUAUAGAUGGAUCCGCGCCGCAUUAGCUAGUUGGUAAGGUAACGGCUUACCAAGGCAACGAUGCGUAGCCGACCUGAGAGGGUGAUGGGCCACACUGGAGCUGAGACACGGUACAGACAACCAAGAGAGGCAGAAGUAGGGAAUCUGCCGCAAUGGGGGAAAGACUGGCGGAGCGAAGCCGGGAGAAAGAUGAAGGUCUUCGGAUCGUGAAACUCUGUUAUGAGGGAAGAACAAAUGUGUAAGUAACUAUGCACGUAUUGACGGUACCUAAUCAGAAAGCCACGGCUAACUACGUG